CAUGGUUCAUUACACGGCUUUGUUCAAUUUUCGAUUCUGAUUGGUCACUUUAGGCAUUCAGUGGUCAGAUAUUACUUUAUAAUGACUGCUGCUAUGCGUAACAGUCCGAUUUAACCUAGAACUGUUCGUAUCACUCUGCAGAAAGACGUGCCACAGCUGACAACUUUUUUUUGUGAUUGUGCCUAGUUUUAUGACUUGCGCUAGCUGUACAGUACAUUCAAUCAGAUUUGCAGUGGGCGAAGAGAAAACUGACCUAGUGUUAGCGACAUUACAAAAGGUGUGAGGCUGAAUCAGAGGCUGGGGAGCAAAUAAAUGCCGGCGACACUGACAGGGUCAGGAGAGAGACAGUGAGCCAGAAUUACAGAGGCAGAGCAGAAUAAUAAAAAAUAAAAAGUAGUUGUCUUUCAGCUAUCGAUACAGCGGUUUUGUGUUGUCUGGUCCAGUAUCCCGUUAGCCAAUGCUCCUGAAUAGGCAAGCAUGCUGUGACAUGAGGCGGUCAGCUAUGGGUAAACAAUGGCCUUCACAGAGGCAAGCCCCCUCCCCUCUGCGGCUGCCUUUAUUUCUCAAUAGCUGACCGCCUCGUCAGGGAUUAUGCCUUACAUAACAAGAUCCGGGAGGGGGGGGGGUGUGUUAAAAGA